CCUUGUACACACCGCCCGUCACACCACGAAGGUUUGUUGUACCUGAAGUCGUUGGCGCCAACCGCAAGGGGGCAGACGCCCACGGUAUGACCGAUGAUUGGGGUG
rnacentral:rRNA from 1 species